CACCUGGAGAGGCCAGGCCCGAAGCUUCCGCCAGGUGCACGGCUGGCCAGCUCGACCAACUCCCAGAAUGCCAGCUCCGAGUCCCCAAGGACGAGACACAACCCCUCCCCACUCCCACCUCUUUCUCUGCAGAGACCGAAGCAGAAGGAGAGGCGCCCUACAGAGAGCCAGAGGUGGGGACCGUCUCUUACCUGGGCGCAGAAACUGGAUGCACCCGCGGUCGCGACUGCCACCGCUGACGGACUUAGCGCCCUCCGGAGAAGAAGCAGAGGGGUGGACGGGUUAGGGGGGAAAAGGGGAGGGGGGGAAAGAAGAAGGAAGAGAAAGAAGCGGAAGGGAAGUAAAGGAAGAGAGGAUGCUGCUGCUGCUGCUGCUGCUGCCCAGAGCCCGCGCAGCCCGAGCGCCAGCCCCAGUCUGAGCGCGGCGCCCCCGCCCGGCUCCCCGCGCAGCCGCCCCGCCCCGCCCCGCCCCGCCCCGGCCCUUCCUCCCCGCCCCGCGCAGGUCCCGCCCGACUCCGCGAGCCCGUGGGCGGCCGCUGCGGGGCUGGCGCUGCCACCGCCGCAGUGUUCGGGAGGGGCAGCGCGGCCGCCCCGCUUCCUGCAGCAGCCGCCCGCCGCCAGACGGGGUCCACGAGAAAAGCAAUGCUGAGAGAUGGAGAAAGAGCCCUUGAAAGACCAUGGAUCCUGCUACAUCUCAAGAAAAAAUGCUGGUGGAAAAAAAGGACACCAUUAUUAUAAUGAAUUAAAUGUGGCUCUUUUGCAAGGAAUGCUUUUUGCUUGUGAAGACCUUAAAGACCUAGGGUUUGAACUUUUCAUGCAGCAUUUUGAGUACCAAGUUUAACAAUGUCAGUUCCUAAAGAUGGAAGUAAGCCAGCUGUAAUACUACCUUCAGUGUGAGAAUAUAAGUAACAAUGGUAUUUGGAUACCAAGUGUAAAGUUUGCAAUUGUUAU
ensembl:lncRNA